UGUAAUGUAGUUUAUAUAAAAUGUUUGUUUUACACACAAGAGAACUCUAGUCAUGAGCUUUACGA
rnacentral:tRNA from 1 species